rnacentral:rRNA from 1 species
GAUGAACGCUGGCGGCGUGCCUAAUACAUGCAAGUCGAGCGGACGGACGAGAAGCUUGCUUCUGAGUCGUUAGCGGCGGACGGGUGAGUAACACGUGGACAACCUACCUUGUAGACGGGGAUAACAUCGAGAAACCGGAGCUAAUACCGGAUAACACGUAGUAUCGCAUGGCUCAACGGUGAAAGACGGUGUAAGCGGCAGCUACAGGUGGAGCCCGCGUCGCAUUAGCUAGUUGGUGGGGUAACGGCUCACCAAGGCGACGAUACGUAGCCGACCUGAGAGGGUGAUCGGCCACACUGGGACUGAGACACGGCCCAGACUCCUACGGGAGGCAGCAGUAGGGAAUCUUCCGCAAUGGACGAAAGUCUGACGGAGCAACGCCGCGUGAGCGAAGAAGGCCUUCGGGUCGUAAAGCUCUGUUGUUAGGGAAGAACAAGUAACGCAGUAACUGGCGUUACCGUGACGGUACCUAACGAGAAAGCCACGGCUAACUACGUG